rnacentral:rRNA from 1 species
CAAGUCGUACGCGAACGACCUUUCGGGGUUAAGUAGAGUGGCGAACGGGUUAGUAACGCGUGGGAACAUACACAGCACAGGGGGAUAACCAUUGGAAACGAUGGCUAAUACCGCAUACGCCCUAUUGGGGAAAGAUUUAUCGGUGUUGGAUUGGCCCGCGUUAGAUUAGCUAGUUGGUGGGGUAAUGGCUCACCAAGGCGACGAUUUAUAGCUGGUUUGAGAGGAUGAUCAGCAACACUGGAACUGAGACACGGUCCAGACUCCUACGGGAGGCAGCAGUCGGGAAUAUUGUGCAAUGGGGGCAACCCUGACACGGCCAUGCCGCGUGAGUGAAGAAGGCCUUAGGGUUGUAAAGCUCUUUCAGAUGUGAGGAUGAUGACGAUAGCAUCAGAAGAAGCUCCGGCUAACUUCGUGCCAGCAGCCGCGGUAAUACGAAGGGAGCUAGCGUUGUUCGGAAUUACUGGGC